rnacentral:rRNA from 1 species
CCUGCCUUGGAGUGGGGAAUAACAGCUGGAAACAGCUGCUAAUACCGCAUGAUGCAGUUGGGUCGCAUGGCUCUGACUGCCAAAGAUUUAUCGCUCUGAGAUGGACUCGCGUCUGAUUAGCUAGUUGACGGGGCAACGGCCCACCAAGGCGACGAUCAGUAGCCGGACUGAGAGGUUGGCCGGCCACAUUGGGACUGAGACACGGCCCAGACUCCUACGGAAGGCAGCAG